rnacentral:rRNA from 1 species
GCUUGUCUCAAAGAUUAAGCCAUGCAUGUCUAAGUACGCACGGCCGGUACAGUGAAACUGCGAAUGGCUCAUUAAAUCAGUUAUGGUUCCUUUGGUCGCUCGCUCCUCUCCUACUUGGAUAACUGUGGUAAUUCUAGAGCUAAUACAUGCAAAAAAACCCAGACUUACGAAUGGGUGCACUUAUUAGAUAAAGCCAACGCUGGGUAAAACCAGUUUCCCUUGGUGAUUCAUAAUAAUUAAGCGGAUCGCAUGGCCUUGUGCUAGCGACAGUCCACUCGAUUUUCUGCCCUAUCAUGGUUGAGAUUGUAAGAUAGAGGCUUACAAUGCCUACAACGGGUAACGGGGAAUUAGGGUUCGAUUCCGGAGAGGGAGCCUGAGAAACGGCUACCACAUCCAAGGAAGGCAGCAGG